ACACGUAGGGGCCUGACGUUGUUCGGAAUCAUUGGGCGUAAAGGGCGCGCAGGCGGCCGUCCAAGUCCGGUGUUAAAUGGUCGGGCUCAACCCGAUCAUGCGCUGGAAACUGGGCGGCUGGAGUCCCGGAGGGGAUGCCGGAAUUCCAGGUGUAGGGGUGAAAUCUGUAGAUAUCUGGAAGAACACCGAUGGCGAAGGCAGGCAUCUGGCCGGAGACUGACGCUGAGGCGCGAAGGCGCGGGGAGCGAACAGGUUUAGAUACCCUGGUAGUCCGCGCAGUAAACGAUGCGCACCAGGUGUCGGGCGGCAGCGCCCGGUACCGGAGCAAGCGCGAUGAGUGCGCCGCCUGGGGAGUAUGCCCGCAAGGGUGAAACUCAAAUGAAUUGGCGGGG
rnacentral:rRNA from 1 species